rnacentral:rRNA from 1 species
GCCAACGACCAUACCACGUUGAAUACACCAGUUCUCGUCCGAUCACUGAAGUUAAGCAACGUCGGGCGUAGUUAGUACUUGGAUGGGUGACCGCUUGGGAACACUACGUGUCCUGUUGGCA